GUUGUUGUUGUUGGAAAGCUUUUGGCAGGGGAUGUCAAAGAAAAAAACGUCAUAUGUAUACGGCAUUUAACUCGUAUUGACGAAUUCUACUUCGAUAGAAAAAGUUUUUAUGAGGAUAUUAAAGAAUUCAAUUGAUAAUUAACGACUUUAAAUUGAGCAUAAGGUGAUUGUUCGUUUAUUGUUUCUGGAUCCCACUUGUGAGAGGGCGGAAAUAGUGAUGGUAUGACUAUCGGAAGGUAUAAAAUGAAAGUGCUGUGGAACGAUUCUGCACUAUUCAUACUAAGCGGUCGACGACGGAUAGCAACCGGAUUUCAAGGGAUCGGAAUACACAUACAGCCGCCAUAAGCAUUUUGGUUUAGAUUUCUAGAGGAAGUUAACGUUUAAAAAAAUGUUCCGAAGGAAACAGGGAUAAAAGUAAAAAGAUUGUGGAAAAGUUCAGAUCGUAGAAGAUAAAAGCCGGGAAAAUUUUAUUACAUAGAAAUAAAGCGCCUUGAUUCUUGGAAUUCCCAAGCAGCACGCUCGAUAUGGCAAUUGGAGAAAUGCUUAUCACCAGGGCAUAAAUAAAAAAAAUCCUCAUGAGUAUUUUGUUUUGUUAAUGUUUGAUGUUUUUGUUUAUCAACUAUAGGACAUUCUAUGGGUCGAGAAUUUAAAGCCAGAAGCACAACGGCAACAGAAAGGGAUAUACCAAAAUGCCGAUGCAACAGCUCACAUAAAGGAAAUCGUUGUAAGAUUGGUUGAGAACCAUCAGGGAAAACUUUUCAUCUCGGUGUUUUUUUCAAAGCGCACCUGAAGGACAAGUGCGCCGAAUAGUACUUGGAGCUAUUUGAUGUCCAUAAUAGAACAACCGAGGAAAACUGGUUACUAUCGCCGGCUUCCAACUUUUAUUUGUGGCAACUUCACUGCGGAAAGUGCCCGGAAUUUGCUGCCGUGAGCGCCCUGGUACACCAUCCAUAACCUACAAAAUGCCGGUCCAGAGCCACCUAAAGCAAAUACAUUGCUUGAGCAGAGAUUGUAUUUUUCGAGAUUUCCGGGAUGUCCCUGGAAUGCUUUGACUGCGAAAUACUAUCCAAUACACCGGAUGCUAGUAUCCAUUGAUACUAGGCCAUAAAAUGUAAAAAAAACUAUCGCGAGAUGCAAAAAGUUUUUUCCACGUAAUAGAAUAUGACUAAGUCGCCCAGAAGAUUUCAUGUAAAAUAUUUGUUAUCAUUGUAAAAUAUUCCUCAAGACAAUAAAAAGUUAUAGGUUUUUCGUAAA